GAGCGCGUGUGGCCGCCGAGCACAUGGACCCACUGGUCAAGCGGGCUCGGCAAGGCCAGGAUGAAGAGAAGCUACGAACUUAGCAUUCCCAGAGCCCCCCGAGUGGAUAUCCGCGUGGAAAGGAUGUUGGCAGCCCCGGUGACCUCGGAGUCACGGCUGGAUCCACCCUCUUGGGCUGGGACACUGCCUGAUUGAGGUGGCCAUUGAGAAUUCAAGUGUACCUCUUGGUCCCUGAUGCAGAAAUGAAGUCCCCAGCAUGCUCAAGAAGAGCUUCCUUGGAGGAUGAGAGGCAUGGGAAUCUAAGUAUACCCUUUAAGCGUUCCAGAAGGAUUUUGAGAUCCUUUCCUAAAUCAAAGGUGGAAUAUUUGGGGAUUUGGAAAAUUGAGGCUUCAGAGAAAUCAGGAGCGGUGAAUGAUCGAAAUGGACCUUUGAGAUUACAGUGUGGAGCUGACAUUGCCAGUUAAGCCUGGGCAGAUCUGACUUAAUUGAUUUAGUUGUUGGAGCAGAGACAACCCAGAGGCUUGGAUCAGCCUCCCCAUCUGACAGUGUGCUGAUGUGAAGCGUUGACUUAAGAGAUGCCAAGUAACUCAGCAGAUGUCACACAGACGAUAAAUAGCAAAGAUGGAAGUCUUCAUGCCGGAGGCAAUCCUAUAAGACAGCUGAGUUCUGCAGAGCUGGUAGGAGACAGACUUGCUCAGGUGAUAGAUCCAGCCAUGAUACUGACCCUAAGAGAAUGAGACGCUCUGCAGAAGACAGAAGAUUCCUGAAACUGGGAAAGGUGCCUAGAAAUCCUGAUAAGAGUGAAGAAGGAGCUGGCAGAGCAGCCUUCCUCCGCACUAUGAAAGACAUCCAACAGAGAGCAAGUUCCCACCUCACUUCCAGCUUGACUCCUUUUUAUCUCCUAACUGUGGUCUGUGAUGUCUUCAGCAAUGGUAUUAACUAGUUCUGGGUACCUGGAGGCACAGCAGCCAUGUUGAACCUAUGAGGUGAUGAAAAACCAUGCAACUAGAAACCAGAAUGGAAGAAAAGAAGAAGCUGGAUCCUUGACUGAAUUGUCGAUGGGGGAUAGUCCAUCAUCCCAGGGCUAAGACCACCUCCAGAUUUCUUGUUUGGUGAAACAAGUCCUGAUUGUUUACAUUC
rnacentral:lncRNA from 1 species